rnacentral:SRP_RNA from 1 species
CAUCGGUCCCCCCGCAACGAUUACCCGUAAACCUGGUCAGGCCCGGAAGGGAGCAGCCACAGCGGGAACAUUGUGUGCCGGGGUGUGGCUGGUGGGG